rnacentral:rRNA from 1 species
AUAAUGGGUCAGCGACUUAUAUUCUGUAGCAAGGUUAACCGAAUAGGGGAGCCGAAGGGAAACCGAGUCUUAACUGGGCGUUAAGUUGCAGGGUAUAGACCCGAAACCCGGUGAUCUAGCCAUGGGCAGGUUGAAGGUUGGGUAACACUAACUGGAGGACCGAACCGACUAAUGUUGAAAAAUUAGCGGAUGACUUGUGGCUGGGGGUGAAAGGCCAAUCAAACCGGGAGAUAGCUGGUUCUCCCCGAAAGCUAUUUAGGUAGCGCCUCGUGAAUUCAUCUCCGGGGGUAGAGCACUGUUUCGGCAAGGGGGUCAUCCCGACUUACCAACCCGAUGCAAACUGCGAAUACCGGAGAAUGUUAUCACGGGAGACACACGGCGGGUGCUAACGUCCGUCGUGAAGAGGGAAACAACCCAGACCGCCAGCUAAGGUCCCAAAGUCAUGGUUAAGUGGGAAACGAUGUGGGAAGGCCCAGACAGCCAGGAUGUUGGCUUAGAAGCAGCCAUCAUUUAAAGAAAGCGUAAUAGCUCACUGGUCGAGUCGGCCUGCGCGGAAGAUGUAACGGGGCUAAACCAUGCACCGAAGCUGCGGCAGCGACGCUUAUGCGUUGUUGGGUAGGGGAGCGUUCUGUAAGCCUGUGAAGGUGUGCUGUGAGGCAUGCUGGAGGUAUCAGAAGUGCGAAUGCUGACAUAAGUAACGAUAAAGCGGGUGAAAAGCCCGCUCGCCGGAAGACCAAGGGUUCCUGUCCAACGUUAAUCGGGGCAGGGUGAGUCGACCCCUAAGGCGAGGCCGAAAGGCGUAGUCGAUGGGAAACAGGUUAAUAUUCCUGUACUUGGUGUUACUGCGAAGGGGGGACGGAGAAGGCUAUGUUGGCCGGGCGACGGUUGUCCCGGUUUAAGCGUGUAGGCUGGUUUUCCAGGCAAAUCCGGAAAAUCAAGGCUGAGGCGUGAUGACGAGGCACUACGGUGCUGAAGCAACAAAUGCCCUGCUUCCAGGAAAAGCCUCUAAGCAUCAGGUAACAUCAAAUCGUACCCCAAACCGACACAGGUGGUCAGGUAGAGAAUACCAAGGCGCUUGAGAGAACUCGGGUGAAGGAACUAGGCAAAAUGGUGCCGUAACUUCGGGAGAAGG